AAAAACAAGACUGUGUGUGUUCUAAGUUCCAUGCACCAAGACGUGACGAUCGGUGACGGCAGAAAGAGGAAACCCAACACGAUAACAGACUAUAACCACAUGAAGUGUGGUGUAGACGUGUUGGACCAAAUGGCACGGAUGUAUUCCGUAAGAUCAGCAACACGCAGGUGGCCAGUAGCGGUUUUCUACAAUAUGCUGGACCUGGCGGCAGUGAAUGCCUACAUUUUGUACAAGGCAUGUACAGGGUGGACAGGCAAAAGAAGAUGGUUUCUGAGUCUUCUAGCUCAGCAACUUCGUUGCCGAUUCAUGCAGCACAAGGAAA